AAUGUACCAAUGUAUAUUUUUUUAUUAAUCAUCUUCCUUUAUAAAUAAGUCAGAAUUUGCUUAAUUUGUUGAGUUUCGAAUGGAAGCUUACACAAAGUAAAAACACAAAUUUAAAACUAAUAUUAAGCCUGAUUCCCAAUAUGCGGUCUAUACCUACUUAAAAAUUUAAAAUAAAUAUAAUAUGUGUUCUACCUAGUUUAUGUAACAACUAUUCAAUAUAGUCGGGGCUUGCCAAACUUUGUUUUGUAGAGAUAUACUAAGAAUAUAAUAUUUUUCCUUU